GUUGAUUCGGUGAUAAUUCAAGUUGAAUAUUGAGGAAGCAUUCCAGUUCCUCCAACUUUUAAUAGUUCAUAUCUUCAAAACGAUGAGAUGUAAAAAAAUAUUUGCGAUUCCUCGUGGACCAUUUUCGGACUGAAAUCUACAAUGGAGCAAAAUUAUUGUGCUUAUCUGGUCCUUAUUUUGGGAUGUAUUUGGAGCAUGAAAUUAGCGAACUGGGAAGCUUCAUCUAUAAAAAUCCAUCAGUUGUCAUGGGUAGCUCCACUUCAUCUAUAGCUAGCAAAAGACUUCUUUUUGCUCCAUUACUCUUUGGACUCGAGAGGACUUUUAUGACCAUGACUUUUUGGUUUGAUAUAUCUUAUAAUGGUGGUGCUUCUUCUCUCCAAAUCAAUGCCUACUACAAUACUUGCCCUGAAGUUGAAAGAAUCAUUUAUUCAAAGGUCCAC